CGGGCUGUGGCCUAGCUUGGUUAAGGCGCGUGUCUGGGGGACACGAGAGCGGGAGUUCAAAUCUCCCCAGCCCGA
rnacentral:tRNA from 1 species